rnacentral:lncRNA from 1 species
CUUCGUAGAGUUUGUGGUACCGUACCAAUACCAAUACCAUACCAGAGAGACUAUUCGCAUGUCUUGUCUGCCUACUGGUACCACCACCACCAGCACCAUGCUCCUGCGGUUUAAUUAAUUAUGACGGGUGCGUUUACCUGCAACAUCCUACUAACAUUUAUUAUACAUAUAUUAUUUAAGAGAAAGAAGAAUCACUAGUAGCACUUGAUGCUCCUUUUCCCCCUUCUCUCCCUAAAUUUUUUAUUUCCUUAUAGGGGUUAAUGUUUUUUUUCGAAUCAUAUAGUACAAAUGCAUACACUCACGUACACACACGCACACUCGCUUCUACGAACACACAUGCAACCCUACCCCUAUGAUCACUUUCGAAAGAUUGAGCCGGCAAAUCCUCGAAAUUGACGAAAUUAUCACUGACGUCUCGCUGUUGACGAGCACGUCAACUAUACCGCUAAAAAAAUAGCGCCGGUUAAAUUCUAGAAUAAAUUUAAAUAAAUACGAGCUUAGCUAGACUACGGGGUUAAUACUUAACAGAGAGAAUAAAUAACUCACUCUAUCCAUUUUCUUUGCCGAAAACAGCCCAAGUCCGUCCCGGAGGACCGUGUACGUAUAUCUUCUUCGUUACAGUGCCGGCCCAACUGAAAUCCCGCCCGACUGCCGGCCGCAGCAGCAACAAUGGACCGAUAAACUCACUGGGCUUCGAGGCAUUGAGGCCCAAAUCUUUCCUUCCGACUGAGUUGAUCCCAACAACAACAUCAACUUUGAG